rnacentral:snRNA from 1 species
GUGUUAGCUUCAGCAGCACAUUGGAAAUAUACUGAGAAGAUUAGCAUGGCCCCUGUAUAACAAUGAUAUAGAAAUUCAUGAAGUGAAAAACACAUUC